rnacentral:rRNA from 1 species
UUGACCUCGGAUCAGGUAGGGAUACCCGCUGAACUUAAGCAUAUCAAUAAGCGGAGGAAAAGAAACCAACCGGGAUUGCCUCAGUAACGGCGAGUGAAGCGGCAAGAGCUCAAAUUUGAAAGCUGGCCCCUUCGGGGUCCGCGUUGUAAUUUGCAGAGGAUGCUUCGGGUGCGGCCCCUGUCUAAGUGCCCUGGAACGGGCCGUCAGAGAGGGUGAGAAUCCCGUCUUGGGCAGGGUGCCCGUGCCCGUGUGAAGCUCCUUCGACGAGUCGAGUUGUUUGGGAAUGCAGCUCUAAAUGGGUGGUAAAUUUCAUCUAAAGCUAAAUACCGGCCGGAGACCGAUAGCGCACAAGUAGAGUGAUCGAAAGAUGAAAAGCACUUUGAAAAGAGAGUUAAACAGCACGUGAAAUUGUUGAAAGGGAAGCGCUUGCGACCAGACUCGGCCCCGGGGUUCAGCCAGCACUCGUGCUGGUGUACUUCCCCGGGGGCGGGCCAGCGUCGGUUUGGGCGGCCGGUCAAAGGCCCCAGGAAUGUAUCGCCCUCCGGGGUUGUCUUAUAGCCUGGGGUGCAAUGCGGCCAGCCCGGACCGAGGAACGCG